AGCCAGACUCCUACGGGAGGCAGCAGUGGGGGAUAUUGGACAAUGGGGGGAACCCUGAUCCAGCGACGCCGCGUGAGUGAAGAAGUAUUUCGGUAUGUAAAGCUCUGUCAGCAGGGAAGAAAGAAAUGACGGUACCUGACCAAGAAGCCCCGGCUAACUACGUGCCAGCAGCCGCGGUAAUACGUAGGGGGCAAGCGUUAUCCGGAAUUACUGGGUGUAAGGGGAGCGUAGACGGUUAAGUAAGUCUGGAGUGGAAGGCCGGGGCCCAACCCCGGGACUGCUCUGGAAACUAUUGAACUUGAGUGCAGGAGAGGUAAGCGGAAUUCCUAGUGUAGCGGUGAAAUGCGUAGAUAUUAGGAGGAACACCAGUGGCGAAGGCGGCUUACUGGACUGUAACUGACGUUGAGGCUCGAAAGCGUGGGGAGCAAACAGGAUUAGAUACCCUCGUAUA
rnacentral:rRNA from 1 species